AAAAAUUUAUAUUGCGCGUGUUACAUAGAAAGAUGCUCACUCGCGCAUUACAUCAAAAUAGAAAAUUGGAAUAUUACACUAAUUUAAAAACCGUCCUACAAUAAAUCUAAGAACCUACAGGGCUGCUAUAUAUUACUUGUCCUAAUUAUGACAGCAUGGAGGAAAAUGUCUUCAUAAAAAAAUGGGUUUUAAGCAUUUUCUUAAAUGAUGCCACAUUGCAGGCGUUACGAAUUUCUGCUGGGAGGCUGUUCCACAGCGUAGGUGCAGCCACUUGGAACGAUCGGUCACCCAAAGUGGUUAAUGUUUUUGUUCCCGGUUUCUCAAGCA